AUUUAGGUAAAUCGUGAAGGAGACAUUGGCAUUCAUAUUACAUUACGUUGCAAGAAUAUUGUCAAAUCUAUAUACUUGGACUUUGAUUGAGCUUUUCCAGUAUUAGUAGCCAUAUUAUACGUUCAACAUUUGCAAAACAACCAGUUUUCAUAACUUCAUAACUCUGAAUAUUCUUAUAAUUUUUGUCCAAAAGGAAAAGGCAUGCUGUCGCAAAAGGUUAGCACCUACAUUUUGCGACAGACACUGGAUACUCCCGUAAAGCCCAGCUCAUUGGCUAUCUAGCUAGCUUUGUUUGACCCCGAUUGGUGCUUAUUUGACAGAGAUAUAGUUGAUCAAAUGAAGACCGGCCACGUCAUCGGUCUUCAUUACGUUCUAGGAUCUCAGAGGAAUACAUACGUACGUGAUUUGCCUGGUUGCAAUUACGUUUAAGGUUAGAUUUUCACAGAUUCCUUUCUUUGGAAAUUGAACGAGUGGAAAUACAAAAUAGGUCGUGCAUGCUAUAUGGACCUUUUUAGGAUAUGAUUUUUUUUAAAUCAAAAACGACACUUCAUGUUAUCUCUGGGACCCUUUGGAUGAUAAAUCAGAGCAAUAUUUCAGAAUGUAAGUAUACAUUUCACCUUCAGAGAUGAAUUUAUCAAACCUAUCGCAAUGAAAAAACGUUUUGUUGUUAGGUAAUAGCUCAUGUAAAUUGGACAGUGUAGUUAAUUUAACAAGAAUUUAAGCUUUCAGCCGAUAUAAGACACUUAUAUGUACCGACAUUUGUUGUUUCUCUAAAAAUCUGCGAUGGUCACAAAUGGCGCUGCAUGAUUUACAACUGUCCCGUUGACGUCGAUCCCUCAAUCACCAGAAAAUAUACUUCCCUGUUGAUAUCAUAUACAUUAUCAAGCAUUUCACACAUAUUAUCCAGAUGCUGACUGUUAGCACUUGGUGGUCUAUAGCAGCUUCCCACAAGAAUGGACAUUAGGUGAGGCAACCUGUAGCCAUAUUACUUCAACAUUGUUUAACAUGAGAUCCUCUCUAAUAUUUACAGGAAUGUGGUUGUCAUGCUCUGACCUUUAUUUCCUUUGUUUUGUCUUUAUUUAGUAUGGUCAGGGCGUGAGUUGCGGUGGGCAGUCUAGGUGUGUUUUUCUAUGUUGGGGUUUUGAGUUCAGCCUAGUAUGGUUCUCAAUCAGAGGCAGGUGUCAUUAGUUGUCUCUGAUUGAGAAUCAUACUUAGGUAGCCUGGGUUUCACUUUUGAGUUGUGGAUGUUUGUUUCCGUGUGAGUGUUUGUUGCCACAGGUACUGUUUCGGUUUCAUUCAUUUCCCGUUUAUUGUUUGUAGUGUUCAGUUUAUGUCUGUAAAUAAACGUUAUGGACACUUACCACGCUGCGCAUUGGUCCUCCGAUCCUCCGAUCGCAUUGGUCCUCCAAUCCUUCUCGCUACUCCUCCUCUUCUGAGGAAAGCCGUUACAGUGGUUCUGAAUAUAAACUACAACACCGCCUCCGUUGGCAUUUGUCUUUUCGGUACAUGUUAUAACCAUGUAUUGCUACCACUGUAUCAUCAAAGGUAUUAUCUAAGUGAGUUUCAGAGAUAGUCAGAAUAUGAAUGUCAUCUGUUACAAGCAAGUUAUUGACUUCAUGGACCUUGUUUCUUAUAUGUUAAUAUGGGCUAUUUUUAGCACUUUCUGGGUUGCUUGAUUGUUUUUAAUGCUUUACUGGGAAGCUUAUCAGAGGUAGACUUACUCAUGUUAUUUACAUAAAGUGGUGUUCCUACAAUUGCUCACCGCCUCAGUGCUAAGAGUGUAACUCUGGUUUAUAGGCUCAAGAUUACUGCUUACAAUAGUUGUAGGAUAAACAGAUGUACCCCUAAUUGCACUGAAUACAAUUAUUCAAUUAUUUACAUUGUGUUUUCCAAUGCUCCUAAGAUCAUGUACAUUUGAUGCAGCAUUAUGAUGACUCAUUGUAACAAUGGUAGGGAUUAACUGAGCUGGUCUUGGAUCAUUUAGCAGUCAUUGUUUUAACGCAGCCUCGAAGUGCGUGGACAGAGAUGACCGUAAACUCCAAUCAAGUUCUCAGUUGUGUGGGGCCACAGGUUUCCCUCCAUCCUCCCCAGACCAGCUUCCUACCCCAAUGCCCUACUUCCCUCUCCUCCUCUCACCCACCCUCCUCCCUCCCACUCCCCUCUUCUCUCUCCGAUCCUCCUCCCUCCCACUCCACUCUACUCUUCCCUCCAACCCUCCUCCCUUCCACUUCCCUUUAGCGCAGUCAGUACUACAUCCUACAGACCCUGCACUCAGAAAGACAGACAGGUAGACAGGGACACAGACAGUCAAGGUAGACAGGGAGACAGUCAGACAUCCGCUGGCACUUUUGGGCCAUAUGUGAUGCAGGACUCGCAGCUUCGCCCAAGCGGAAACCAUCUUCCAUGCGCCUGCUUGCCGUGAGCACCUUGCCCUUUUGAACAAUCUGCCUGUCUGUGACACACGUCCCUCACAGCGGCAGACGAAGCCUGGGAUUAUUACAACACAUGGUCACUGCCCAAACCUCCUCCACCUACCUCCCCCUCAACCUCCCCCAUUCCCACCCUCUCCCCCCAACCUCCUCCACCCUCCUCUGAAACAAAGAGACCCUGAGGCCUACCGGUUCGCCCCUCCAGCCCUGGGGUGAGCCUCUGAAGGUCUGGGAUGAAGGCAGUAAUUGAGCGUGGUAAUGUGUUUCGAAGGAAAAACCACCACACUGUAUCUACAGUCCCUCCCGCUAAUCCUGUUGUCUUUCACAUUUCAGUUUCAACUCAUCAUUCUAGAGAGAUACCAUGCAGGCCAUUAGUCCUACUCUGCGACGAGAAAGAGAGAGAGAGGGAGAGAGAGGAAUGGAGGCUGAAAGAGAGGAUGUGUUUCCCCCACAUUGCCAGGCAUCUGCGGUUGUCUCUACCCAGCUACCCAGAUAUGAAAGAGAUGAAUCCCAAUGAUUCACCAGACGGCUGGUGCUGUCUCUCAAUUAGGGGCGACAGAUAGCCUGGUGGUUAGAGUGUGGGGCCAGGAACCAAAAGGUUGCUGGAUUGAAUCCCCGAGCUGACAAGGUAAAAAUCUGUUGUUCUGCCUCUGUACAAAGCAGUUAAAAGCAGGUAACCCACUGUUCCUAGGUUGUCAUUGUAAAUAAUAAUUUGUUCUUCAUUAACUGACUUGCCUAGUUUAAAUAAAAGGUGUGUUGUUUUCCAUCA